UACGGGGGGGGCAAGCGUUGUUCGGAAUUACUGGGCGUAAAGGGCUCGUAGGUGGUCAACUAAGUCAGACGUGAAAUCCCUCGGCUUAACCGGGGAACUGCGUCUGAUACUGGAUGGCUUGAGUUUGGGAGAGGGACGCGGAAUUCCAGGUGUAGCGGUGAAAUGCGUAGAUAUCCGGAGGAACACCGGUGGCGAAGGCGGCUUCCUGGACCGACACUGACGCUGAGGCGCGAAAGCUAGGGGAGCAAACGGG
rnacentral:rRNA from 1 species